CUCUGAGGAACAGGUCAAACUCUGGGGUGGGGCUGUGUCCCGACAAACCUGAUCUUUUUUCUUUUUUUCUACAGCCCACCUGUUACGUACAGAAGGGAGCGGAGACACAGGAAGCGAGGAUGCAGAGAGGCGUGGAACAGACGAACACACUGGAGAUCACAGGAGACGUGGAGACACAAGGGAUCACAGGAGACAGCAUUAAAUAAUGCACAACAUCAGUGUGUCGUGUGGAGAGAUUAGGACUGACGGCGGGUUUGAAUACAGACUUCAUGAUGAUUUACUGAAUCACACAGUCAGUGGAGACUGUGAGCAGAGCUGGUAUUCAGAGGACGGGCGUCUGAUCGCAGAUCCAUCAGAUCCACACAAACUGAGUGAUCCAGCGACGUCUGUAUCAUCUGAUCAUCUCGUUACUUCUCGCUGUGUGAAUCUGAAUCAUGAGAUCAUCUGUGAUUCUGCUGAUGGAACUCAUUUCAGUCGUGAAAGUAUCUUCAGAGAUCUGGACUGCAGGCUGGCGACACCCUUCUUGGGGAUUCUGACCGUGAUAACAGAAGACAGCCAGGAUUCUUCCUCCACAAGAACUACAUUUGGAGUCUUCAUGCACAGCAUUAUUCUAGACUGAGCCAUUGUCAUGGAUGAACUUGAAAAACUUCCAGGUGCCAUGUGACUAAUUUUUGGGCUGAUAUGUGCCAAAUUUGGAGUUUUUCCUUUCCCUUGGACACAAUUCUCUGAAACCAAAACUACAUUCACUUAAAACCCUUCUGUUGAUGUAAGCAAAGGCUGUUUGAGAUCGUUAAAGGCUUAGUUCACCCAAAAAUGUAAAUUCUGUCAUCAGUUUUUCACUCUCAUGUUGUUUGACUUUGGUUAGUCUUUCAAACACAAAUUUAGAUAUUUUUAAAGAAAACAGGCUGGAAAACUUUUUGGAUCUUUUAAGUUUUGGUUACCUGGACUUUCAGUUGGAGGGACAGAAACCUCUCAGAUUUCAUUAAAAAUAUCUUCAUUUAUGUUUCAAAGUCUAACCAAAGUCUUAUGGGUUUGUGACGUCAUGAGGGUGAGUAAAUGAUGAGAGAAUUUCAUUUUUUUGUGAACUAUCUCUUUAAUCUUGCUGUUGCACUAAAGUCAACAUCCUUUUUAAAGUGUUAAAUUGUCACCUGCCAAAGUUUAAACUGUCAAAAUUAAGCUAACAUUGAUUUUUGUUUCAUGGUCAGCUAUUCAGUUUCUUGUCAAAAGACUGUUAGUAUUAUUGGUUUAUUCAUCAGUCAUGAUUUGUAAUCCAUAUUGUUACAUUAAUGAAAAAUGUUUAGAAUUUAGGGGUGCCAGAAUGGCAUUGUUUGGGACAUUGUAGUGUCUGAAGAAAAUUGAUGAGCAAUAAAUAAUGUUUUGCCUAAGA